CCCUGUUUCUCUGCUGCUCUGUGUAAGUCAAACAGGAAGAGGAAGUUCUGCGCUGCAUAUGAUCUGGGUUUACAUGUGAGACUCGUUCAGUCAGCAUCAAGCAUCAGUCAUGGAGGUCACAGCUCUCUGCAUGCAAAUCUUCAUGAACAUGUUUGUGUUGCUGUUGACAAAACCUGAUCUGAGUUACACUGAUCAGAAACCUGUUUUUCCUCUUAUCUCUCCAGACAGACUUCAGUUCUUUGAGUAUGAGUCUGUCUCUGUAAGCUGUGAGGCAGACAAAGAAGUGAAAGCUUG